AUACGGAGGAUCCGAGCGUUAUCCGGAUUUAUUGGGUUUAAAGGGUGCGUAGGCGGCCUUUUAAGUCAGCGGUGAAAGUCUGUGGCUCAACCAUAGAAUUGCCGUUGAAACUGGGAGGCUUGAGUAUGUUUGAGGCAGGCGGAAUGCGUGGUGUAGCGGUGAAAUGCUUAGAUAUCACGCAGAACCCCGCUUGCGAAGGCCGCCUGCCAAGCCAUGACUGACGCUGAUGCACGAAAGCGUGGGGAUCAAACAGGAUUAGAUACCCUGGUAGUCCACGCAGUAAACGAUGAUCACUAGCUGUUUGCGAUACACUGUAAGCGGCACAGCGAAAGCGUUAAGUGAUCCACCUGGGGAGUACGCCGGCAACGGUGAAACUCAAAUGAAUUGACGGGG
rnacentral:rRNA from 1 species